ACAAAAAUCAAUGUUCUGGGAGAACGAGAAGCAGCUCCAUUUUUGGGGGGGCCCUUUACACAGCUCAAGGUCUGGGUCCCAGGGUCCACCUUCAUUUUCCACCAAUGAGUUUGUUCACAGGGGAUGGAGUGUGUAGGGAAUGUCCUGAUUUGUGUGUAAGGAAUGCAUUGUGUGAAUCUGUGUUUGUAUGUGUAAGGGCUGCAAGGUGUGUUUCUGUGUAAGGAAUGAAGUGUGUGAGUCUGUAAGGGGUGUAUUGAGUGUGUGUAAGGAAUGCAUUGUGUGUUUCUGUGUGUGCAAGGGAUGCAUUGUGUGUAAGGGUUGCAUUGCGUGUGUGUGUGUAAUGCAUUGUGUGUUUUUCUGUGUGCAAGGGGUUCAUUGUCUUUGUGUGUAAGGGGUGCAUUGUGUGUGAUUGUGUGUGUGUGUGUGUGUGUGUG